GACGAACGCUGGCGGCGUGCCUAAUGCAUGCAAGUCGAACGCUGAAGCUUGGUGCUUGCACCGAGCGGAUGAGUUGCGAACGGGUGAGUAACGCGUAGGUAACCUGCCUGGUAGCGGGGGAUAACUAUUGGAAACGAUAGCUAAUACCGCAUAAGAGUAGAUGUUGCAUGACAUUUGCUUAAAAGGUGCAAUUGCAUCACUACCAGAUGGACCUGCGUUGUAUUAGCUAGUUGGUGAGGUAACGGCUCACCAAGGCAACGAUACAUAGCCGACCUGAGAGGGUGAUCGGCCACACUGGGACUGAGACGCGGCCCAGACUCCUACGGGAGGCAGCAGUAGGGAAUCUUCGGCAAUGGACGGAAGUCUGACCGAGCAACGCCGCGUGAGUGAAGAAGGUUUUCGGAUCGUAAAGCUCUGUUGUAAGAGAAGAACGAGUGUGAGAGUGGAAAGUUCACACUGUGACGGUAGCUUACCAGAAAGGGACGGCUAACUACGUG
rnacentral:rRNA from 1 species